rnacentral:lncRNA from 1 species
CCGUCACCUGCCUUUGGCACCACCAUAGUAGCCACCAAAGUAAAAAAAUGACGAAUCACCUUCAUACCCGAGCUCGAAGCAGCUCCAUCGCUGAUAAGCAGCUUUGCGGACCUCCAAGGUGGCUCACUAAAGGCGAAACCAUUGUCGUUGAACGAAUCAGGCCGGGGAACACCCCAGACACGCCAUCGAACUCCAAAUGUGGCACCCCCACCGGACUAAGACGUCGAAGGAGAAAACCAUACCUGCCAUCCACAAACCACUAACCUAGAUCCACCAUCUUUCACAUGUCGUCCAUGCAGACCCCAAUCUGCAUCCGCUCCUCGAC